CCGCCUCGAAGCUCCCUUCCCAACGGGCGGUGGGCUGAAUCCUUUGCAGACGACUUAAAUACGCGACGGGGCAUUGUAAGUGGCAGAGUGGCCUUGCUGCCACGAUCCACUGAGAUCCAGCCCCAUGUCGCACGGAUUCGU
rfam:Hordeum vulgare subsp. vulgare, WGS project CAJW01000000 data, contig: morex_contig_732577